CACACGCACACGCACACGCACACACAGGGUCGCGCACACCUCAGCGCGAUCCAAAAUGCCGUAAAAAUUUACAGGCUGAACAUUCCUGCGGGGUCAAGCAAUUUAUCAAAUGCUGCACAUUCUGGUUUCAAUUACACAGGCCGUUGUUGGACGCACUCAUUUUUAGCAGGUUGAUUGGGCCCCGGUCGGUCCGGUCGCCAAACGCUCGGCGCUGACCGGGGCCCACCGGGCCGCCAUCUUCCCGUACGGGGAAAGCAUGUCUAGCCUCUAUGAAAGUCACUCUUCUUGUUUUUUUUUUUUCGCCUUUGUGAUUCUGAUCUCAUCCCCCUUCCUUGUCUUUCGCUCUCUCUGUGGUAGAGUGGUGAUAAAUCCGCAUUUUAUUGCCGUAGAAUUCCUCUUUCCCGGCAGGGCUGACAGCUCCCCACUGCGGGGGACGCGGCCGGGUCUAAACCCGAUUCCCUCCCCAUCCUCCAUCACUCCGUCCUUGCCUCCAUCUGGCCCUGAUUAGGGGGAAGAGAGUGGAAGGGUGGCAGGGCGUGGCCGAGCCGGGAGAGGAGAAAGAUGCACGCGCAGCAUUGUUGUUGCUAUGGAGGAGGAGGAGAGAGAAAACGAAGGACGAGGUGAAGACAAGCGCGGUCGCGGAGGGAGGUCCGGAUGAAUGAGACGAUAGCGCCGGGCGAGGAAGCCGCGACGCUUGAUUAUCAUCGGAGAAGUCAUCAGGGCGUCCCGCCGCCUCGCACCCCCCCCACAGCCCGUCCUGCCCACCGCGCCUUCCCCUGUGUCACCCCUCGUCUAGAUAGGGGCGCCUCCUCUUGACAGCACCCUGACGAGGCCUGGCUGUCACAUCCUUGCUGUCGCUCGACCGCUAGCUUCUCCGAGGAUGAUUGCGGCUGGCGGAAACAAAAGGCCGAGGAAAAGUGCGGAGAAGAGGGAGAGGGAGGAUAAAUGAGCUCUCUGUGUACAACUCACCCCCCCACUCACACACUCCCCACUCAACAAGCAGCCUGGCUCUAUACGUGACUCUUGAACCAGGCUGCGUUUUGUGUUAAGCAGGACCCUCUCAUGACAGAUCUGCUGCGGGGUCGGUGGUCAAAGUUGAGGACCGGGUCGUGGAAGAGUUGUAGGGGGGGGGGGGGGCUGUACUCUCCACCCGCAUGCCUUCCUUCAACUUCCCCGCCUCCUCCCCACCCCUCCUGCAAAUUUCCUUCUGGCAUUACGUCACUCGUGGCCCCCAAAACAAAGCACACCGCCAAAUGUUUACGUAUUUGCAGACAUUUUUCUUGGAGCCGUUAAAAGCUCGGCGAAGAGCAAUAAUUCAUACGUCGACUCGAUGUAAACACGCUGUCGAGGCUGGGAGGACGAGAGCUAGCUCCUGCUAAGGCUAGGCUCAACACUUUAGAAGUUGUUUGCAUUGAAAAACUUUGACUACUGAGUUGACGACAGAUGAUAGCGCAGAUUUGAUGUGAUUCAGAGUAGCGGGUGUCACCGAUGUUUUGCAAAGUUUUGUGAAGCUCGAAAAUAGAAGCCUUCACUUCAUCGUCAUUCCAGCAUGUCAAUAUAAUCGUAAAUUGGUACGGAAAUUUUCAACACUCGCUUAAGUAUGUGUGCAGAGCACAAAAUUAUGUUUCUCCGGUGGUUGUGAUUUCGGGAUGCCACACAUUUCCUCACUGAUGUGACACACUCAAACACGGUAUCAGCGCACGGUAUCGCUUCUUCCGAAUAGUGUCUCAAUGCAUCAAGCGGGAAUAGAAAAUGUUUUUAAACUUUCAUUAAUCAGCGUGGCUGCUCAGCUCAAAAUGUCCAGCAAAUCGAAAAUAAAAUGUUGCGGAAGGUGAAGGAAAACUGUCAAAAUCGCCCAUUCCAAUGUAGCUUGUCAAUAAAAUCACUUUGUAUGAUCCGUUUACUUUGCAGUGAACAAUCCCAAGUUAAAAUAGAGACAUAAUAAAAUCCUCAUGCGUAAAGGACUGUCAUUUGACAUUCCAUUUCUUUUUUUAUAGGUUGUAAAUACCACUGAAACAUUUUGCAUCAAGCACUUCAUCUUCGUUCUUUUCAAAGGAUAAAUAUUUGGGGGAAAAAUACACUUUCGUCUUUUGAAUUGUUAGGAAUCUGCACUUUUUUUUUUCUUUUACAAUAGUUAAACAAGGUACUGUGGUUACACACAGACACAAACACCCAAACACACUUUGUUUAAUAUAAACAAAGGCGGAGACAAACCACAUGAAGCGGAACACCACCGACCACAGGCAGAAAGACGGAGGGAACGCGUGAUGGAGUUGGACUUGACGAUCAAACAAUAAACAGUCCAUUAAG